rnacentral:rRNA from 1 species
AUACGUAGGGGGCGAGCGUUGUCCGGAAUGACUGGGCGUAAAGGGCGUGUAGGCGGCGGUGUAAGUCUGGAGUGAAAGUCCCGCAUUCAAUGUGGGAAUUGCUUUGGAUACUGCAGUGCUAGAGUGCGGAAGAGGUAAGUGGAAUUCCCAGUGUAGCGGUGAAAUGCGUAGAGAUUGGGAGGAACACCAGUGGCGAAGGCGACUUACUGGGCCGUAACUGACGCUGAGGCGCGAAAGCGUGGGGAGCGAACAGGAUUAGAUACCCUGGUAGUCCACACUGUAAACGAUGAAUGCUAGGUGUAAGAGGUAUCGACCCCUUUUGUGCCGGAGUCAACACAAUAAGCAUUCCGCCUGGGGAGUACGGCCGCAAGGUUGAAACUUAAAGGAAUUGACGGGG